UUGCAGUAAAACUGUUUAUCUGUCCUUGCUGAAGUGUGGCCUCUAAGGGUCACGAUCUUCUGCCUAUGACGUCCCCACAGCAGUUGCCCUGGAGAUGUGGAGGUCAAGGAUGGUAAAAAGAGCUUCUUGCCAAGAUGAUCUCACGUAAAAAUCCCUUUGCUGGGGCUGCAGCCCAGCAGCGGAGAGGACACUUAGCAUACACAAGGCUUUCUGCUCUGUGCUCAGAAACAGGGAGUGGGGGAGAUUUCUUCACUUUCUUGUGACAGACCACCUGGCAAUUGAGCUAUGAAGGGAGAGGAGAGCAC
ensembl:antisense